rnacentral:rRNA from 1 species
UACGAAGGGGGCUAGCGUUGCUCGGAAUCACUGGGCGUAAAGGGUGCGUAGGCGGGUCUUUAAGUCAGGGGUGAAAUCCUGGAGCUCAACUCCAGAACUGCCUUUGAUACUGAAGAUCUUGAGUUCGGGAGAGGUGAGUGGAACUGCGAGUGUAGAGGUGAAAUUCGUAGAUAUUAGGAAGAACACCAGUGGCGAAGGGCGGCUCACUGGAUCGGUACUGGACGCUGAGGUGCGAAAGCGUGGGGAGCAAACAGGG